rnacentral:rRNA from 1 species
AGCUUGUCCUUGGGUGACGAGUGGCGGACGGGUGAGUAAUGUCUGGGAAACUGCCUGAUGGAGGGGGAUAACUACUGGAAACGGUAGCUAAUACCGCAUAACGUCGCAAGACCAAAGAGGGGGACCUUCGGGCCUCUUGCCAUCAGAUGUGCCCAGAUGGGAUUAGCUAGUAGGUGGGGUAACGGCUCACCUAGGCGACGAUCCCUAGCUGGUCUGAGAGGAUGACCAGCCACACUGGAACUGAGACACGGUCCAGACUCCUACGGGAGGCAGCAGUGGGGAAUAUUGCACAAUGGGCGCAAGCCUGAUGCAGCCAUGCCGCGUGUAUGAAGAAGGCCUUCGGGUUGUAAAGUACUUUCAGCGGGGAGGAAGGCGAUAAGGUUAAUAACCUUGUCGAUUGACGUUACCCGCAGAAGAAGCACCGGCCUAACUCCGUGCCAGCAGCCGCGGUAAUACGGAGGGUGCAAGCGUUAAUCGGACUUACUGG